AUGGCCGAGACUCCGAGUGCUUCUCUGGGCUCCGCAUCCGCUGGUACAGCGAGCAACCCCUCAGCUGCCUUGGCCAGCAUUGGAGUCUUUACUCCUAGCGAGCACCUUGGCGCGUUCUGCUGGCCUCGGAAACCGCCACGCCUAGUCCUAGGCACUCGGGGUCUGGAGAUUUAUUAUUACCGCGUCUGCUGCCCACCAGCUACUCCCAGAUGCUUCAUCCUGCGCGGUCUGCAGAGCAACAUCACAUCGCCACUUCUUCCCUGUGAGCUGAACCAUUUGCUACCUGAUUUUGUAAAUAAAGCUUUACUGGAAGACAGACUCAUCCCUUUUCCUGUCGAUAGCUGCUUUCCUCCUGGAAGGGCAGAGUGGCUAGGACAAUCUGGCUCAUAGCAUAAUGGUAUUUGGCCCAGUGAAGAGUCUGCAGGUCCCUGAAGUCAACUAUUCCCACCUAGUAUCUCCCUGUCACUGUGAACUGUAUUUCCCAUCACUGACUCUGCCUCUACACAGAUUCUCUCUGAUCUCUCAUGCUCCCAAUUAGCUCUAGCGUCUGCGUCAGGCUUUCUCUUCCAUUCCACUUCUGGGGAACAAGAUUCCUCUCCUAAGCAGAAAGAUGAGGAAGAACAGGGUUCACCUCUUAGGCAGAAAGAUGAGGAUCUUAGGAGACUGUUGUACUAAAAUGCUAAAAAAC
rnacentral:lncRNA from 1 species